CCUACGGGGGGCUGCAGUGAGGAAUAUUGGUCAAUGGGCGCGAGCCUGAACCAGCCAAGUCGCGUGAGGGAGGACGGCCCUACGGGUUGUAAACCUCUUUUGCCGGGGAGCAACGGGCGCCACGUGUGGCCUCACUGAGAGUACCCGGAGAAGAAGCCCCGGCUAACUACGUGCCAGCAGCCGCGGUAAUACGUAGGGGGCAAGCGUUAUCCGGAUUUACUGGGUGUAAAGGGGGCGCAGGCGGCCGUGCAAGCCAGGGGUGAAAGCCCGGGGCCCAACCCCGGGACUGCACUUGGAACGGGGUGGCUGGAGGGCAGGAGGGGCAGGCGGAAUUCCUGGUGUAGCGGUGAAAUGCGUAGAUAUCAGGAGGAACACCGGGGGCGAAGGCGGCCUGCUGGACUGCAACUGACGUUGAGGCCCGAAAGCGUGGGGAGCAAACAGGAUUAGAUACCCCUGUAGUC
rnacentral:rRNA from 1 species